rnacentral:rRNA from 1 species
AUUGAACGCUGGCGGAAUGCUUUACACAUGCAAGUCGAACGGCAGCACGGGGCAACCUGGUGGCGAGUGGCGAACGGGUGAGUAAUACAUCGGAACGUGCCCAAUCGUGGGGGAUAACGUAGCGAAAGUUACGCUAAUACCGCAUACGAUCUACGGAUGAAAGCGGGGGAUCGCAAGACCUCGCGCGAAUGGAGGGGCCGGUGUCAGAUUAGGUAGUUGGUGGGGUAAAGGCUCACCAAGCCGACGAGCUGUAGCUGGUCUGAGAGGACGACCAGCCACACUGGGACUGAGACACGGCCCAGACUCCUACGGGAGGCAGCAGUGGGGAAUUUUGGACAAUGGGCGCAAGCCUGAUCCAGCCAUUCCGCGUGCAGGAUGAAGGCCUUCGGGUUGUAAACUGCUUUUGUACGGAACGAAACGGCGAGCUCUAAUACAGUUUGCUAAUGACGGUACCGUAAGAAUAAGCACCGGCUAACUACGUGCCAGCAGCCGCCGUAAUAC